rnacentral:pre_miRNA from 1 species
AGAGCUUAGCCAUUUGGAGAGCAGUAUCAUUGGAGAGCUUUGUUCACAGUGGCUAAGUUUCAU